rnacentral:tRNA from 1 species
GGCACAGUGUCCGAGUGGUUUAUGGUGCUCCCCUGCUAAGGGAGUGAUGAGAGAAAUCUUGUCCGAUUGUUCGAAUCAAUCCUGUGUCG